AAUCCCCACAGCCUUGCCUGUGGAGAUGCCCUAUCUGUCCCCACUCUGUCAAGCCCAGGGAAAGGCGUGGGGUCAGAGGAUUUGGCUCUGUCACACCAUUCACUGCCUGCCCUUCUUCCCAGCGCUUCCAAGAUCUGGUUGUAUUAAACACGAGAAUGAAGAGAGGAAAACACCUUCGCCCACGGUGUGCUCUGGGGACAUCUCCAGGUGUGGGUGGUGGCGUCAGCCACAGGACAGGCCCUUGAAUGGUCUCCUGCCACAUUGCAUCAGGGUCGGUCUGCAUGGCCCACAAGUACAGCAGAAGUGAUGGCAUAUGCCUUCGAGGCUAGCUUAAGAAAGACACGGUGAUUAGCCUGCAUUAGUUUCUGCCUUGGGCUGCUCACUAUGGAAGCCAGCUGCUGUGUUGUAAGGAUGUUCACGCAGCCCUCUCAGAGGUCCCAGAGGUGAGGAACUGACGCCUCCUGCCAACAGCCAUGUGAGGACCCAUCUUGGACGUGAAUCCUCCCGCCUCAUAUCAAGCCCUCACGUGACAGCAGCUCUGCUUAAUAUCUUGACCGCAACCUCAUGAGAGACCCUGAACCAGAACAACUCACCUUAGUCGCGUCCAAAUUCCUGACUCUAAGUUACCAUUAGAGAUGACACACGUUUUGCUGUUGAGGCUGCUGUUUCAGGGCAAUUUGUUACAUAGCAAUAGAUAACUCAUGCAAAGCACUUGGCAACUCUAAGUGGUUUUUCCCACUGCGUGUUUGGGGAGGCUUCUGGACUGGGGUUUUGCCUCCUCUGCCAGACAGGAAAUAUUAGGGUUCCCAAAAGAUCACAGCAGCUCACUCAACAGCUCCUUCCCUCGCUCCUUCUCUCUUCCCAGCAAAUUGAAGGUACUUCCCUUUAAGCAACCAAAAUCCAACAACAGAUGCUUCAACAAUAGAUGCAAAAAGAAAUCUGAAUUGGGGGAGGGUGAGAAAAGAAAAAUAAGAAAAAAGGGAAGAAAAAGAUCCAUCCCUGUGAGGUCUGAGAAUAAAAGAAGGAAAAGGAAAAGAAAAAAAAAAAAAAAGAAAUCACCAGUGAACCCCUACCUGGCUAAAACAGAGUUUUCUCCUCAUCUCCACCCCCAGAGGUCUCCAGUCAGGGAGGUGACUGGCCUUGGGCACUGGUACAUUCCCAAACACUAUGUAAACAAGCCCCAUCAGACCCUUCCAGCCUCCGAAGCUGUCAUUGCCUCCCUUUUGCUAAGUUGGUAUUUAAACCUUUACCUCUGGCUGUACAGCAAGGUACUUAUUACCGAGUGCUCCCACAUAUGAAUAGACCUCGUCUUUUUUCCCGUUCGUAUGUCUAUUGUGAGUCAUUUCACAAACCCCCUCCUCAAACCUAAGUUGGUAGAGGAAAAGACUUUUCUCCCAGCACCCUCAAGUCAAAGAAAUUCCCAGGGGCUGUCAAGUGAGAAGUUCUGGAGCCCACUGCACUGAGUAUUCUCUCUGGUCAAAAUGAACUUUCCUAAGAACAACCACCUCCAAUAGGGGAGAUGCUGCAGGGACCCCAGAUACACCCACCACACCCAGAUACAAAUGGCCAGAGGCCCUUGGAAACACAGCUCCUGGACCUUAGGUCAUAGCUGAGGCACCCUCUGACAUACACAACGCUGCAUCAUCGCCUGGUCUGCAGCAGCUUCUUUUUGGGUUUUGGCUUCUUUAACAAACACUUAGUGCUUGCUAUGAGUCAGGCUCUCUUCUAAGUAUGUUAGAAAUAUGAAGUCAUUUAAUCCUCACAACAACCUGCCUAGGAAGGUAUUUUUACAGAUAAGGAUCCUGGGGCACAGAGAGGUGAAACAAUUUGCCCAAGGCCACACAGUGCAUGAGUGGCAGGGCCAGCCUGGCUCCAUGCUCUGCCCUGAGAUGAGAAUGGACCCAGGGUCCAUUUAGUGAGCAUUCUGUGCCACCAGGGCACUGUUUCUUGGCCAGCACUCCUGGGGCUGGACAGGGUUGUGUAUGUUGGUUUGGGCUGGGGGGAAUCCAGGGGUCCAUGUCCAAGCAGGGCAUCAGCUCUUGAGGAAGCAAGGCCAUGGCCUUACUAGAGAGAACUUCGUCUUCCAGGGCCAAUCUCCACAGUCAGCUGAGGGUCUGCCUGAGCCCUGCCCAGGGUAGGAGGGGCUCUUGUGCGCAGGCUCAUACCUGCUUCCUCACCCCUGCCAGGUUUGCCCCUAUGUUUCCCACCUUCCUGGACCAGUGCCCCUCAACUAAGGGCAGUUUUGUCCCCCAGAAGACAUCUGACAAUGUCUAAAGGCAUUUUUGAUAGUCAUGACUAGAAGGCUGCUACUGGCAUCUAGUGAACAGAGGCCGGAGAUGCUGCGAAACAGCCUACAAUGCACAGAACAAAGCCUCACCACAAAGAAUGGUCUGUCAGUAGUGCGGCGGUGAGAAGCCAUGAUCUAGGCCCACCUCACGGCAUCCUUAAGGCUGAGAACCCCUCCCGUGUGAUCUGUGUCUUGUUACAGCAGGGGUCCAGCGUCCUUGGAGGGCCACACCCAUCCUCACUUUGGCGUCUCCCAGAGGCUACAACAGAAAGUGAAGGACUCAGUUUGUACUGCAGCCUCAAGUUCUUGGAAAUAAAAUAAGGAUGUUGAGG
rnacentral:lncRNA from 1 species